rnacentral:rRNA from 1 species
UGCCAGCCGCCGCGGUAAUACGGAGGGAUCGAACGUUAAUCGGAAUUACUGGGCGUAAAGCGCGCGUAGGCGGUACGGUAAGUGGGAUGUGAAAGCCCCGGGCUCAACCUGGGAACUGCAUUCCAAACUGCCGCACUAGAGUCUGGUAGAGGGAGGUAGAAUUUCCUGUGUAGCGGUGAAAUGCGUAGAUAUAGGAAGGAAUACCGAUGGCGAAGGCAGCCUCCUGGACCAAGACUGACGCUGAGGUGCGAAAGCGUGGGGAGCAAACAGGAUUAGAUA